ensembl:ncRNA K08C7.9 ncRNA
CCAAGAUCAGAGAAUGACCAGUUCUUUCUUGUUCACUAUCAACCGUUAUAAUUUCACAAGAGGAACUGUCAUUUUGAUUGAAAUGAUAUCAAACAACGAAUAAUCAACCAAUGAUUUUAAUAGCUAACCGACUGACCAGUUGAAU